CAUUAAAAAGCUUUAAGCAAGCGCUGAUCUCUUAAAUCAGUCAUAGUAUUCUAGCGGUUACUUUUAUUGA
rnacentral:tRNA from 1 species